UCCGCGGAGGCUAUACUGCAAAACUACCUAGUAAAACUAUCUAGUAGACCUAGUAAACACUAAUUAAGCAAUCUCUAUGUUGAAGACUAUGAGAUGAAGCUCUAUGAUUAACCUUCUGUGGUAGCAAACGAGUAAAGUAACCAGCCACCGUGACACAAAGAGAAAGGUACAAGUCCUCAACCUAUUUUAUUUAACUACUUUCGAGACCACCCUACACAAAAAGGGGAAACCCCAAAGCAUCAAAAAACCUAAUUAAAAGCCGAAGCCAAUAACUAAGAAAAUGCUCUAGCUAGACCCGCAAAACAGCCUUAUAGUCUAAACUAAAAAAAUAAAAUAAAAUAAAAAUGAUCAGUCCGCAGAGGCUAUACUGCAAACUACCUAGUAGAACUAUCUAGUAGACCUAGUAGACACUAAACAAUCUCUAUGUUGAAGACCAUGAGAUGAAGCUCUAUGAUCAACCUUCUGUGGUAGCAAACGAGAGUAACCAGCCACCGUGACACAAAGAGGAAGGGACAAGUCCUCAACCUAUCUUAUUUAACUACUUUCGGGACCACCCUACCUACACAAAAGGGGAAACCCCAGAGCAUCAAAAAACCUAAUUAAAAGCCGAAGCCAAUAACUAAGAAAUGCUCUAGCUAGAUCCGCAAAACAGCCUUAUAGUCUAAACUAGAAAAAACAAUAAAAUAAAAAAAAGCGCGCAGAAAAUAAAACCGGUCUGUAGUUGUUUGUUAUUCAGUAAUAUAAACUAAAAACUCUCCUAAACUCAGUUUUGGAUUGGAACCCUAAUAUAGAAUUAAGUCAUGGUGCCUGUAGUUUCAUUAAUAUUAGAAUAAGUUAGGGAUCGAAUUCCCCGGUGAUUAUGAAUGAAAGACAAUAUAUGGAUUUUCCUCAUUAUACAAAUACAAUACCAUACAAAUGAUACAAUAGGACUGUUGUCUCCAGAAACAAAUGCAGGAUUAUACGCUAGCUAUGGCUACCCAAGUACCCAACUCAAAUGUUUAUUGGUACAUGUUUGUAUUCAUUGGCCUAUAUAUAAAAAGUUUUGCCAAGAAGCUAAGGACUGAAAUUAUUAGGGAACAUCAACCCAUUACUAUACUAGAGCUAUAGGGAUAUAUUUGUAUUGCUUCCACAGUCUGAUUUAAAAGAAAAUAUAUGGAAGCAAAAACAUAUUCCUUUUGUUUUAGCAAAACAUAUACUGUAUAUGGAACUCAUCAAAAAAAGACCAUACUCGAUCGUUCCAAAAUUUAU
rnacentral:lncRNA from 1 species